AGAGUUUGAUCAUGGCUCAGAUUGAACGCUGGCGGCAGGCCUAACACAUGCAAGUCGAGCGGUAGCACAGAGAGCUUGCUCUCGGGUGACGAGCGGCGGACGGGUGAGUAAUGUCUGGGAAACUGCCUGAUGGAGGGGGAUAACUACUGGAAACGGUAGCUAAUACCGCAUAACGUCCCAAGACCAAAGUGGGGGACCUUCGGGCCUCAUGCCAUCAAAUGUGCCCAGAUGGGAUUAGCUGGUAUGUGGGGUAACGGCUCACCUAGGCGACGAUCCCUACCUGGUCUGAGAGGAUGACCAGCCACACUGGAACUGACACACGGUCCAGACUCCUACGGGAGGCAGCAGUGGGGAAUAUUGCACAAUGGGCGCAAGCCUGAUGCAGCCAUGCCGCGUGUGUGAAGAAGGCCUUCGGGUUGUAAAGCACUUUCAGCGGGGAGGAAGGCGGUGAGGUUAAUAACCUCACCGAUUGACGUUACCCGCAGAAUAAGCACCGGCUAACUCCGUGCCAGCAGCCGCGGUAAUACGGAGGGUGCAAGCGUUAAUCGGAAUUACUGGGCGUAAAGCGCACGCAGGCGGUCUGUCAUGUCAGAUGUGAAAUCCCCGGGCUCAACCUGGGAACUGCAUUCUAAACUGGCAGGCUAGAGUCUUGUACAGGGGGGUAGAAUUCCAGGUGUAGCGGUGAAAUGCGUAGAGAUCUGGAGGAUACCGGUGGCGAAUGCGGCCCCCUGCACAAGACUGACGCUCAGGUGCUAAAGCGUGGGGAGCACACAGGAUUAGAUAUCCUGCUAGACUCACGCUGUAUACGAUGUCUAUUUGGAGGUUGUGCCCUUGAUGCGUGGCUUCCGGAGCUGACGCGUUCAAUCGACCGCCUGGGGAGUACGGCCGCAAGGUUCAAACUCACAUGACUUGACGGCUGCCUGCACAUCGGUGGAGCAUGUGGUUUAAUUCGAUGCAACGCGAAGAACCUUACCUGGUCUUGACAUCCACAGAACUUUCCAGAGAUGGAUUGGUGCCUUCGGGAACUGUGAGACAGGUGCUGCAUGGCUGUCGUCAGCUCGUGUUGUGAAAUGUUGGGUUAAGUCCCGCAACGAGCGCAACCCUUAUCCUUUGUUGCCAGCGGUCCGGCCGGGAACUCAAAGGAGACUGCCAGUGAUAAACUGGAGGAAGGUGGGGAUGACGUCAAGUCAUCAUGGCCCUUACGACCAGGGCUACACACGUGCUACAAUGGCAUAUACAAAGAGAAGCGACCUCGCGAGAGCAAGCGGACCUCAUAAAGUAUGUCGUAGUCCGGAUUGGAGUCUGCAACUCGACUCCAUGAAGUCGGAAUCGCUAGUAAUCGUAGAUCAGAAUGCUACGGUGAAUACGUUCCCGGGCCUUGUACACACCGCCCGUCACACCAUGGGAGUGGGUUGCAAAAGAAGUAGGUAGCUUAACCUUCGGGAGGGCGCUUACCACUUUGUGAUUCAUGACUGGGGUGAAGUCGUAACAAGGUAACCGUA
rnacentral:rRNA from 1 species